CAUGUGAUCAGCCGAGGCUGAACUGCUUUUGCUGAGCGUAAUAGAUGAGAAAAUCGCUUGCUGUCAUUGUUUGUCCAACUCUCUGUUCUUGGCUACUUCGGUUCCGAGGCAGUAGCCCCAUAGUGUCAGUUUGGGACGAGCAGUGCAUGUGUCACCCGGUGUUGUUACCCGUCUGGGCUGUAGUCGUAGCGCAGGCCCACUGGGGCCGGCGGUUUCAGUGGCUGGGGCGAUCCUAGUCCACAGAGGACUAGCUCUAUCAGUGCUGAACCGUUUCACAAAAUGCAAGGACCGAAGCCAACUUGGUUUUGAACAAUCUUCCGUGGUUUUCGAAUAACUGGAACUGAGAGCAAAGCUGCAUGUUAGACGGUACUCUAAUCGACAUUUGAACUAAACUGCCGCGGCAGGAUGAGCGGAGCCCAGCAAAAUGACAUCAAGAGACAGCACCUGCUGGAGAGGCUGCUGGAUGCGGUGAAGCAGUGCCAGAUCCGCUUUGGAGGCAGAAAGGAGAUCGCGUCCGACUCGGACAGCAGGGUGAUCUGCCUGUGCGCGCAGUUCGAGGCCAUGCUCCAGCACGGGCUCCGGAGGAGCCGGGGCCUGGCGCUCACCGCCGCCGCCUUCAAGCAGGUGGCGGGAUUCUCCAGCAAGGCGGAAUCAGAGCUGUCCUUCUGGCUGUACGUGAAGGAGCACCUGAACCGGCACGAGCUGCAGCGCUUCUACGCCCUGCGGCAGAUCAGCUCGGAGGUGGGCCGGGGGCGGGCCUGGCUGCGCUGCGCCCUGAACGAGCACUCGCUGGAGCGCUACCUCCACGCCCUGCUGGCCGACCGCGCGCGCCUCAGUGUCUUUUAUGAAGACUGGGCCUUCCUGAUGGAUGAGGAACGUGCGAGUAUGCUUCCCAUUAUGGCAGCAGGGCUGAACUCCAUCCUGUUCGCCAUCAACAUCGACAACACGGACCUGAACGGGCAGAGCCGCGGCGCGCCCUCCGUCUCGGACCUGCUGCGCGAGUCCACGCAGGGCGUGAGCAGCCUGUGGAAGGAGUCUGCCCAGGGCGUCAGCACCCUCCUGCGGGAGAUCAGCACGGCCACCUCCGCGGUGCCCGGGUUCGGCCCCCGGGCCGAGCACCUCUCCGACCCCCUGCCCGUUCUGCCCCGCAGUGCCUCUGCAGACUCAGGUUUAAAGAAGGAGCGCCGGAGGAAGAAGAAGGUGACCCACAUAAUCUCCUUCGACGAUGACGAGGAGGAGGAGGGGGAAGGGGGCGGCAGGUUGAGGAAGGGGUCCGGCAGGGGCCCCGGCGGCUCGGAGGAGGCCUUGGAGGUCAGCGACCCCCCGCCCACGCAGAACGGGGCACCUGACGGAGAGGUGGGGGGCUGGGGGGGGCCCCACACCACCAAUGGGGAGCCCAUCGACAGUAAGAGCAUCGACAACGAAGAGGAGGAAGAGGAGGACCUGUACGGGAGGAGCAGGCCGGAGGUGGAGGAAGAGCGCGGCAAUGGAGAGCAGCCUCUGGUUGGAAGCCUGUCCAGUGUGUCCACGUGGAGCCCCCUGCAGGUGAUCAACGACAACGACGGCUCCGAUAUCCUCAUCCCGGUUGAUUCCGCAGACUCCUGCUCCCAGCCCGAGGGCGAGGUGCAGACUCGGGGGUAUCGGGAGGUGACUGGCAGGAGCGAGGUGACGCAGACGGAACCACGGCUGGGGUACAGCACGGACACCAGCCCGGCGGCCCAGAGCACCCCGUUGAACAUCAGCUCCCCCGUCCUGCCGGAGUCCAUGACUGUCGCGGAAUUGCGCCAAGCCAUCGUGGCCAUGAUGAACAGAAAGGAUGAGCUAGAGGAAGAGAACAGGUCCCUGCGCAGUCUGCUGGACGGGGAGAUGGAGCACUCCGCCGGGCUCAGACAGGAGCUGGACUCCCUGAAGAAACGGCUGGGCGAGCUGGAGGAGAGGCACGGCGCGAAAGUGCAGGCCCUGGGCAGUUGGAGGUCAGCGUCACUUAAUCACCACCUGCCAAGGGAGAACGAGGUGCUGAAGGUGCAGCUGAAGAAGUACGUGGGUGCUGUGCAGAUGCUGAAGAGAGAAGGAGGUCAGAGCGACGACGCUCUCCCCGCGCUGGGGAACGGCGACGGCGCCCCGCCCGCCCCCCCGCCCAAGCCCGCCGGCGAAGUGGAGGAGCUGGCGGCCAGCUACGAGCGCAAGCUGAUCGAGGUUGCGGAGAUGCACGGCGAACUCAUCGAGUUCAACGAGAGGCUCUACCGCUCUCUGAUGGCCAAGGACAACCUCAUCUCCCAGAUGAGGCAGGAGCUGAUCGACCUCCGGGGCCCGGUCCCCGGAGACCUCAGCCAAACCUCGGAGGACCCCAGCCUGUCAGACUUCGAAACAGCUCACCGGGCCCUGGUCAACGUCUGGAUCCCCUCUGUGUUCCUGCGUGGGAGAGCAGCCAACGCCUACCACGUCUACCAGGUGUACAUCCGGAUCCUGGAUAACGAAUGGAAUGUGUACCGCCGUUACACGGACUUCCGGGCCCUGCACCAGCGCCUGCGAUCCCGAUUCCCACAGGUGGACGCGUUCAACUUCCCACCAAAGAAGGCCAUUGGGAACAAGGACUCCAAGUUCGUGGAGGAGCGUCGCAAGCAGCUGCAGAGCUACCUGCGCAGCGUGAUGAACAAGCUGAUCCAGGCGCUGCCCGAGUUCGCCGCCCGCCCCACCAAGGAGACCCUGCUCAAGCUGCUGCCCUUCUGCCAGGACACCCCCCAGGCCACGGAGAGCGGGACCAAGCCCGCUCGCUCUCGCGUCGGCCCCAGGUUCCCCAAACUGACUCGCAGCCAGAACAGGGAAUCCCGCAACCCCGAGCCGCAGAGUGGUGACCUCUGACCUCCCCCCCCCGCCCUGGGAACUGAGGCCGGAUCUCCAGCUGACCCUCAGCCAGCGAGAGAACAGGGCUACACGCAAACCUCCGUGCAGAGGGAGCGCCGGGUCGAGGGUCACAGCCAGACAUGCACACAAGAGCUACAGAAGACCGGCUGGGUUCAGGACAGAGGUCCGCCUCCCCUCAGACGGCUUCCGUUACCGUGUCGUGCUCGCAGCAUUAGGGAGUGUUGUUUGCCAAAGGAAACAGGUUAGCUGUCGUUCUGACCCCGCUGAUGCAUUUUAAAGCUCGGUUCGCUGCAGUUUUCAGUCCUGGGUUUUCCCUGCAGCCACGGAACACCACGGAGCGAUCUCCAGCUUAAACGUUAUAUGACGAUGACAUUGUAGCUGAGGGACCCCCGCGUUCAAGUCUAGCUCGGGACGCCUGGGCGUGUGGAGUGUGCAUGUUCUCCCCUAGGUUCCCCACUGGUUUUAAACCCGCUUUUCUCUCACUGAACAAAAGCCUGCGUUUGUGGCUUGACUGGCUGCUCCAAAUUGUGGCCCCCACCCCACCCCUUCUGCCCCUGGGAGAGAUGUGGCUAGGCUGCCCAUACCUCCUCGCUUACCCCUCUGUCUCUGUGCCAGUGCUGCUCAGAGCCAGAGAAGGAGGCCAGGAGAAGUGCACUGCUGCUGCUCUGGGCUUUGUGCCUGGGAAGCGCCCCAUCUCUGCUGGUGCAGACCCAGGCUGGCUUCACGUAAAGAUAAACACCACCGUCUCAUGUGUGCUGUGGGCUGGUGCAUUUGUCUCAGCUGUCACACACUCGACUGUGACAGUGACAGAUGAGGGGGAGCAUCGUUAUCAUCCAGCUGUUCAGUCGCUACAGCCCCUAGGGACACAAAAUAAAUGUGAAGUUGCUGAGAUUUGUGAAAUGUUCUUAAGGAGGAAAAACAUCGAAGUGCUGACAGGCUGAGAUCUGCGUUUCAGCUGCCGUACGGAGUCCAGGAGAGCUCGGAACAAGGAAACGUUAGCUAUCACCGGCACAAGCAGCACCAACACAGCAAGGUCUUAAAGCCAAAAGGAACCAGUCUUUCACCCAGUGGGCAGGGAUUCUUUCUUACUGGGGGCCUGGCUUUCCACUGGGUAGGGCAUUAAGAAAUGAGUACAAAAAGUCACUGGCAACAUGUAUUUGGCACCUGCAAGCCCAUCUCUUCUGAUCCCACUCCACCGCUGCCCAGCAGCCACCUUGAUUUUCUGCUCACUUUCGCACUGGCCAUAUUUCUCAGAGACGAUACAGUACAUUUCUGACUACCCUGUCGAGAACUACAUGCACAUGAACUGCCACGAAAGAACUUGUCCUCCAGAGGUGAGGUGACAAGUGAUUGAUGUCCUAAAAAUAAGCACCUGAAGCUGACACUUUCUUUGGAAACCGCAACGGGCAAGAAAAGUUGGCAGCCUCAAAUCCUAGAUGACUGCAGGAAACAAACUGCUCAGGCAUUCUGCUGAUGGGGGAUUUGUGGCUCAGACAAUGAUGUGAACUGCCCCAGUUCUAUACGCUCGUGGUGUCAAAGCAAUUUUAAAAGUGUUUAAUCGUACAGAGGGGAUUCGCAAACUGGCACAUGCAAGCUACUGUGGUGAGAGCAUUUAUUAAUUCUGUUGAGUGUUUAAUCAUUCUUGCUAGAGACUGGCUGAAGUUUAGGUUAAAUACCUUCAAAAGCACUACAUUCCAAAACAUGGGUUUGCAUGCAACGUUGAUAAAUCAUUAAACAGAUAACAUUCAGCUAAGCUAACUCAAAGUCAUAAAUCACAUUACCUGGGAGUUUUAUAAGCUUCGGUAGCCACAGUGUGUGAUUAAAACAAACAUGAUCACAGCCUAAUCACUUAGAAUAGAAACAAGAAGGUCCUGAUGAUAAAUCAUGCCUUACACUUCCAUGGGUUAUUAAAUGGGGAAAAAUAAAAAUAACAUAGCAGGUCUUUUGAGGAUGGCCUAAUAGGUGUAAGAAAUUUUGGGGCACAAAUACAGUAUCCAGGGAAAUCUGAAAUCCCUAUCAAAGGGAGAGAAAGGGAGAAGGAAACUCUGAAGUCUCCCAGGGGAGACUGAAAUCCCUUCUGGCCGACAGGGGGUCUGUGAAACGUGCGAAGCUGCACGAGGCCACUCGGAGAAAGGAACACGGACAUGGAGAGAGAGGACACCGUUCCGGCCCUAACGAGGCUGCCGGCAAGGAUCCCAGGGAGCGUGUGGAUUGUGGCACUUUGAGACACAACAGGAAUUGCUGCAACAAAGGAAUCAGUUUGUAAAUUAUCACACAGAGACUGGUGCCCUAACGGCCGUGCAGGACAACUGAGGUGCUAUGAGCAGCUUCUGAAGUGACUGGAAGAGAAAUCAAAAGCCAGAUACUGUAUAUAUUUUGUCUGAAAUAAAAGCAAAAACUUUGAUGAACUUUCGGCAUUUACAAAUAACUAUUCCGGUAAUUAAUAGAUUAUUUGCCACUUCUCUUCUGAUCAUAUCAGCAACGCCUAUUGGCUGCUCAUUCGCUUUGAUCAGUCAUGGGGGAAAAAAAGACCGCUAGACAGGGCAUCCUAUUCAUACUGCGCUGCAGACAGAUAUCGGUAUUUGCUCUGGAAAAAUGUGUAAGAAUUUCUUAAAGAUUAAGGGGGGAAAAAAACUGAAAAAUCCACGACAUCUCAAAGUGUCCCCGAGGUUCUGGGACAAGGUGGUCAUCCCAUGUAUUUAAAAACAUCAUUAGCAUUUCAGCCCAAAUCAAUGUGGACUCUGAUGUUCUCUGAAGCCUGUCGGCCAUAAUGAGAACAGCUGAGCGGAGCUCAGGCCCGCUGUGAUUUAAUAUGCCGAGCGACACUGUCACCAGGGCAGACUGGGCCCAGCGUGAGCUUCCUCAUUUCCACCCUGCCUGCGGAGGCAGACUGGCCAUACGAGCCCCCCCCCUCUCGGGCAAUAAUUACCCCGUCGCCCCGGCAGGGAGCAGCUCCUUCUCCGGCUGUAAUUAAACUCGUCACACUGGCCGAGUCGCUUCUCCCCGCGAUCUUCCAGAACGCCGCCUUGCUUCACACCAGGCCUCUUCCUUUGUAGCCCGGUGCCCAUCAAGAAUUAAAACACGCUGCUCCAAGAGGGUCACGCUGGCUCCUCUGCACAGGAGAUCAGGAGAAGCGAGAAGCUGUUUCGCCUCUUGAAUUUAGGGGUAACUUUAGACAGAACAGACGGAAGGCCAGAGCAGCAGGGCCUACACUCCUCCUCUUAUUAACGGUACGAUAGGAGCUCGAUUUGUCUCAUUUGAGUACAGGACAGUGUCCCUUGUCAUCCAUCCCUCUACUGCGAUGAAUUGUCCAGCUAUUACGAUGCUGUAAAUCCACAUGAAGUUCAGCCUUUAAAUGUUUCACUUAUUUGCAGUCCUGGUCAAUAUUGCUAACCACCACGGAUUAAAAACAAAGGGGGAGCUGUAAGAACCAUGUGUGUGAAGUCUGCAUGUUCUUCCCUGUCCAUGUAGCUUUCUCCCCAGGUGCCCUGCUUUCCUACAAUAAGACAAAGCUGUCUGGGUAAACAGGUGUCUCCGACUCGCUCCCGUGCGCGUGUGCCUGCGGCCAGACUCUAGCUCACACGACCCCCUGAGGAGGAGGAGGAGGAGGAGGGGGUGACUCAAGCUGGGCAGAUGGAGAGCUUCCUCGUGCCGAUGUCUCAGCCACUCUGAGGAACCGGAAAGGAGAAACAUGGACAGCAAGAAUACAGCCCAAGCUAAGCGAAAUCUGGCCAGCACAGACUGGUUCUGAGGGAGAACUAUAAAGACAAAAUACACGUGCAGUGUGAUUACUAUGCUCUUGCCCACUACAAGACAGCAUUUUUACACAAAAGCUGAGGUUAAUUUGCAGUAUACACUCACUAUUUCAUAACUGAUUCCUGGUACUGUUCAUCCCUCAAUUGAAAUUUAAGGAUUUUUUUUUCCUAAGCCGUAAACACUAAUUCUUCCAUGAACACCAAGUCUUCCACUACGGAAAAAGGGCCGGGAAAUUGUGUUGCCGUGCUCUCACUGCUAGACUUGCCUUCACGAGCGCCGAGUCCCUCGCGACCUGCCCUGGGACGACAGCCUGCUUUCCUCUCACACCUACAGUCCCUAAUUCUGUCAGUCCCCGCGCUUAACACAGCAGAACACAGCAGCCAGGGAGUUUCUGAGGGAGAGAAGACAAGACCUGAACGAGCAAAGCCCUGUUCCCCAGUCAGCCUUUCCAGGCAAAACGUUAUGCAGUUCGAGUGUUUUAGGCUUCUGAAACUACAAUCUAAUUUCAGUCUUUCUUCCAGCUGCAGUACUGGUUAUCAAAUCAAAUGAAAGAAAUGUCUGGAGUGCUUGUAUCACAGCCAUCAGUAAAUGUUAACCUCAAAUAACCUUUUAAAAGAAGCAUUUGUCUAACCAUAUAAUGACUAUAAUUGUAUCAAUGCUGUUACACUGAAAUGUUGUUUUUUUUUUGUAUCCUGACAGUAGGAAACAUUAUUAAUUACCUACUACUGCACCCUCACUGUGAUUAAUCAUGAUGGUGGUGGUUUGUUGGAACAACGGGCUGCCUGUUACAUACAGUAUAACAAUAUUCAUACUCAUCCGUUACCUGGCCCCAGCCCUGAGACGCGCCAUGACCUCGACUGUGACAAACGUCAUGCUAUGAAUACUUACGUACUGUACAUACCUACUCUACAUCUUUUGGAACGACAGUUAUAAAUGAGCAAAGGUGAUGAUGCUGGGUUCAUCAGACCUAGACCACAAUUUCCCCUGUGUUAUAUUUUAAUUCCCAUUUCAAUUGCCCAAGCCAGAGGGGGUGUUGCACCUGUAACACUGUUAGGAAGCCUACCGUUAAUUCCGGGGAUCUACUUCUAACUGCUCGAUGGGCUACGUACCAAUCCGGUCUGCUGCUGUGCCCACAGAGCUCCGAGCGGCCCCAGCUCUCGCCUUCUCUGCUUCCUUGAAAGCUCGUUCAUAACCCCAACCUCCAGCCACUUUCUGACUGCUCCACCCAACAGCGGGGUCGCGACGGGGGCCGGAGCCUAAUCCAGCAAGAGACGGGCACAAGGCAGGAUACGCUCUGGAUGGGACGCCAGUUUGCUGCUCCCCCCCCGGCCAGUGGAUCUGCAGGUGUGGUGUUAAUGUGCCAACGCACGAGGCCGCACGCUGCCUCCCUGUCCUCCCUUUGAGGAGUGCUCCUGGCCGCUGCCGAAACGCCCAGCAGAGUACCGCCGGGCGCCAGAUGGAGCCUGCGGGCAUGCGGUAAGAAGGGCGGUGCAAUGCGUUUAACGCCCAGGCGGACACCUGCCCGCAGGAAAACGGCACCAGCCGCCGUGCCGUAGGAGCGGCGGACAGCCGCACAGCGAGCUGCCAAUGCGGUGGCGCCUCCGCCGCCGAAAUCCAAGGCUCAUUAAAUUGUGAUUAACGAUCACGCCGCCGCAGAGAGCCUGACGCGCUCGUUUAUUACUCCCGAGUCGGGUGCCCUUCGCGUGUGGGGCUUCCAGCCUGCCUGCUGGAAUAUUUCACAAGGGCAACACUCGCACUGUCCUCACCAUGACUCCAUCUCUGCCCAAGACCUCUGUGGGUGGAGGGCUGCAGUAAUAAAGCACUCAGUAGGCGCUGCUGCCUCCAGUUACUGUCACCGUUACACUGUUCCUCUUCUGCAUUUCAGUUUCAAGCAAGGCAGGUGAGCUCAACCCUUCUGCUCGACUUCUUUUGAACAGGCGUCGGCAGUAAGGGAGACCUCCGGGAUAUAAAAUGAUAUUCAGUCAAAGGAGUCUAUUUCCUAUCAUGAGCGAGCCAGGCGAUCCCACGCAUUGCAUACGCAGAAUCUGGACUGGUGGCGCACAGGGACUCCAGCAGCACCAGGCAGGAAGGAGCAAGUGCAAUGAGGGGCUCCUGCACACUGGACACUGGACACUGGACACAGCAGCUGUGUUGUACGAUCGAGCUCUGCUCAAACGUAACUCAAAGCUGUCAUGCAGAAACAGGCCACAUCUUCACCAGAUCCCCUGGACCUCUACAGUUAAGUUACUCUUAAAAGAAAAGUCUAUUUUCACAGAACACAGGUCUGGAACUCACUUGGCUACAGAUCUUCCUGGAAUCAUUUCAACUGGAUCUCUCAAAAAAAAAAAAAAAA